rnacentral:rRNA from 1 species
UACGUAGGGGGCAAGCGUUGUCCGGAAUCAUUGGGCGUAAAGAGCGUGUAGGCGGCUCGAUAAGUCUGCUGUGAAAGUCCAGGGCUCAACCCUGGAAGGCCGGUGGAAACUGUCAGGCUAGAGUCCGGAAGAGGCGAGUGGAAUUCCCGGUGUAGCGGUGAAAUGCGCAGAUAUCGGGAGGAACACCAAUGGCGAAGGCAGCUCGCUGGGACGGUACUGACGCUGAGACGCGAAAGCGUGGGGAGCAAACAGG